CGGAGGUACUCGAGUGGCGAACGGGUGAGUAACACGUGGGUGAUCUGCCCUGCACUUCGGGAUAAGCCUGGGAAACUGGGUCUAAUACCGGAUAGGAGCCAUCUUUAGUGUGGUGGUUGGAAAGUUUUUCGGUGUAGGAUGGGCUCGCGGCCUAUCAGCUUGUUGGUGGGGUAAUGGCCUACCAAGGCGGCGACGGGUAGCCGGACUGAGAGGUUGGUCGGCCACAUUGGGACUGAGAUACGGCCCAG
rnacentral:rRNA from 1 species